rfam:Schistosoma mansoni, Puerto Rico, WGS project CABG01000000 data, contig: 0308
AUCCAGUUGACGAGUCCCAAAUGGGACGAAACGCGCGUCCUGGAU